CUUCAUGCCCCGAUGCAGCUCACUCCCAGCUCAUUUUCCCUUUCUGCUGCGCUGCUGGGAUUUUAAGUAGCGGAGAUGGAAGGCUCUUGGCCCUGCCUCCCUCCUCCCUUGAGGUCAUAUAUUAUGAAUGAAACGCCAACCUCGCUGCUUUCUGAGGUGCCCCACUUCAGCUCUACAAGGUGCCGUUCCUUCCUUUGGGCACAUUAACUUAAAGAAGACCAGCUGUUUGCGCGGAAAGGAGGGCUCCGAUGAAAGAGUAUGAAGGAAGUUUGUGUUCACUUGCAGCAUGAGGAAAUGCAGGAGACAGGUGCCGCCUGCCUGUUUCACAGCGGGCGAUUGUGGCAGAAGGAAUCUCAGAGUAUUUACUCCAUCUCCUGCACUUUGCGGAUGAGGAGACUGAGCCCAGAGGAGGAGGACAGAAUGCUAGGACGAGCACCCCAGCCUCCCAUUUCCUUUUAGCCACCUCUCCUUUAUGUGGAAUUGCUUCUCUGCUCAAAGCAAACAAAAGGAAGGAAAGAAGAGAGAAGAUCUCUGCUCUGUAUGAAGUGGGAUACAA